UAAUUAGAUCUUGACACAUAUAUUGAUUUGGAAAUUAAAAAAAAUUAUUUCUCUUUUCCUCCUCCAUCUUCAACCUCCGCUCUGCCUGGGCUUGGCUAUCUCCACCACCAAGUCGCCGCUUCUACCAUCCUUGAGCCACCAUCCCACCUUGGCCACCACCGUCCGCAGCAAAGCUGUUCAGCUCAUCGCCGGCAGCCAUGGAAGAGCCAAGACUCGAGCUGAAAGCUGUUGAGCAGUAGAGCAGAUUUGGCUAUUGAGCGACGGUUGAUCGCCGCGUCCAGGCCGACCUCCACGUCAACCCUCUCUGUUGUCCCGGCAACUAAGCCUUGGCCGCGAGCACUCGUCCAUAGAUAUGGAGAUGCAGAGUAGUGGUCGUCCAUGGACGGCCUCUCAUCCAAAGAUAGAGCGACGACCUCCGCGGCUAGAUAUGGCGUUCUUUCAAAAACUUCGUAGCCAUGGAUGGUGGCUCGAAAUUUCACAAUACUUCGAAUUUAAGCUCGAAUUCCAAAAACUUCUCCGAUUGAACGAACGAAGGGCGUGGACACCCACUGAGCAUUGCGAUAUGUAAUUGAUCCGACUUAUAGUGGCAGUUCAUCGGUUCGGUGAAAUGCCAGAAAGUUGAACAGUCUUCCCUGGGAAAUGGCUUGGCAGUAGACAGAUACGUAGUAAUUGGGCAACAAAGGGUGCUGGUGGUGGUGGCAUUGAAGAGAAGCAGAGCUCUGACGCCAAAAGUGUGGUGGAGCUAACCAAUGGCUCAUCAGGUUAGCCAUUAUUUG